GGGCGGCGCGGGCGAGACGGCUGCGCGCGGAUCCUGGCGGAUCUGCGGAGGGUGACUCACCCCCUGCAGCCUCCGGUCUGAAGUGUGUGUUCACCAUUGGCUGCGGAGACGAAACAAAGGCAGCGUCUCGCCGCGAAAGCACAGCAUCAACAGUUUGGGUGAAACUUACGACGUUGUUAUAAUUGAGGUAAUCUUUUCUCUGCUAUAUUUAGAAUUCUGUAAAAGUCAACCAUGACUGUAAAAAAGUGUCACAAAAAUAAGAGGGGAAAGGAAUCAACACUUUGAGGGCUCGCUGUGUGCCAGGCACAUAACAUAUUUGUUAACUUGUCUGAUUGUCAAGCCAACCUAAUAAAGUGCUGAUCAAAACU